AAACCAACAGGGAUUGCCUCAGUAACGGCGAGUGAAGCGGCAAAAGCUCAAAUUUGAAAUCUGGCCCUUGUGGUCCGAAUUGUAAUUUGAAGAAGCGACUCUCGUACCGGUCCUUGUCUAUGUUCCUUGGAACAGGACGUCACAGAGGGUGAGAAUCCCGUGCGAUGAGGAAUACGGUGCUAUGUAGAGCGUUUUCGACGAGUCGAGUUGUUUGGGAAUGCAGCUCUAAGUGGGUGGUAAAUUCCAUCUAAAGCUAAAUAUUGGCGAGAGACCGAUAGCGAACAAGUACAGUGAUGGAAAGAUGAAAAGAACUUUGAAAAGAGAGUGAAAAAGUACGUGAAAUUGUUGAAAGGGAAGGGCUUUGGAUCAGACUUUGUAUUUCUAUGGCUUUCUUUCGGGCGAGUCCACUGGGUUUACAGGGCCAGCAUGGGUUUUGCGGGCGAGACAAGGACUUAGGAAUGUGGCUCUGCUUCGGUGGAGUGUUAUAGCCUGGGGUACUGGUCGCCACGCGGGACCGAGGACUGCGAAUCUAGGAUGCUGGCAUAAU
rnacentral:rRNA from 1 species